AUUGAACGCUGGCGGCAGGCCUAACACAUGCAAGUCGAGCGGAGCGGCGGGCGGGUGAGUAAUGCCUAGGAAUCUGCCUGGCAGUGGGGGAUAAGGUCAGGAAACGGGCGCUAAUACCACAUCCUAUCAGCUGAGCCUAGGUGGGAUUAGCUAGUGGGUGGGGUAAAGGCCUACCAGGGCGACGAUCCGUAACUGGUCUGAGAGGCUGAUCAGUCACACUGGAACUGAGACACGGUCCAGACGCCUAUGGGAGGCAGCAGUGGGGAACAUUGGACAAUGGGCGAAAGCCUGAUCCAGCCAUGCCGCGGGUGUGAAGAAGGUCUUCGGAUUGUAAAGCACUUUAAGUUGGGAGGCGUUACCAACAGAAGAAGCACCGGCUAACUUCGUGCCAGCAGCCGCGGUAAUAC
rnacentral:rRNA from 1 species